rnacentral:antisense_RNA from 1 species
AUUCCGACCUCGAUUUUUUCUUUGUUUCCGCCAAGUGCAGCGGCAAGCGGCAUUCCCUUUUCUUUUGCAUAUAAGUCCCAUA